AACGAACGCUGGCGGCAUGCCUAACACAUGCAAGUCGAACGAGACCUUCGGGUCUAGUGGCGCACGGGUGCGUAACGCGUGGGAACCUGCCCUUAGGUUCGGAAUAACUCCCCGAAAGGGGUGCUAAUACCGGAUAAUGUCUUCGGACCAAAGAUUUAUCGCCUUUGGAUGGGCCCGCGUUGGAUUAGCUAGUUGGUAGGGUAAAAGCCUACCAAGGCGACGAUCCAUAGCUGGUCUGAGAGGAUGAUCAGCCACACUGGGACUGAGACACGGCCCAGACUCCUACGGGAGGCAGCAGUGGGGAAUAUUGGACAAUGGGCGAAAGCAUGAUCCAGCAAUGCCGCGUGAGUGAUGAAGGCAGUAGGGUUGUAAAGCUCUUUUACCCGGGAUGAUAAUGACAGUACCGGGAGAAUAAGCUCCGGCUAACUCCGUG
rnacentral:rRNA from 1 species